GAGAGUAAAGUAGCCACCGUGCGCCAGCCAGUUCGGCUAAGCAUUCGCUUACAUCUUAGAGCCGAAGCCGUGCAACGAUCAGAUAAAGAAGGGUACCGUGGCGUCUGCCAAGUCCCGUCCACUCCGUUGGCAGUUCGCGAGGCGCAGAGCUUAGCAGAGACCGGACACCUAACCAUACGCGCACAGCUUGUGCCAUUAGAGAAUGUUGUACAUUUUGCUCUAAAAUGCAACACUGGUCUUUGCGGGAUAAAGAAGACAGAAUUCAUACAUAAGCGUCGCAGGGAAACAAGGACACACGCCGGGGGACACACUGAAACAACGACCAGGGAGGUGCACACGGAGACACUCAACUGAUCUCAUCGGUCUGUGAUGAGCAUCCUCGUCCGCCAGAGACCAAAGGUACGGUAAGGUAUCAGGCUCAUUACCUCGUGUCUCUGUCCACAUCUCAUGGCACCGCCACGGGGGGAAACUUCCCUCACAGGAUGAUGCGGCUGACCAAUGAGGGACCACUAGGGGGGUUUUCUCCUGCAAUGUAUUCGUCUUCUUUCUUUUUUUUUGAUUGAUUCUUAUUUUCCUACAGCAUUUGAAGCCCGCAUAGAUUUUAAUCAUAGAUUACUGGCGGGAAAAUUGGAACGACUGGGUUUUUCCAGGAUGUAUGUCCUGAAUAUUUUCUAAUACAAUGGAUUAAAAUAUGGGAUUUCUUUUUCAAUCAGGCUAAAUGUUCUGCACACCAUCCCUGGCUAUUGCCCCUUCAGUCAGUGUGUGAGGUGGGUUUGUAUAGGUGUGUGUGUGUGUGUGUGUGUGUGUGUGUGUGUGUGUGUGUGUGUGUGUGUGUGUGUGUGUGUGUGUGUGUGUGUGUGUGUGUGUGUGUGUGUGUGUGUGUGUG